rnacentral:rRNA from 1 species
GCAGUCGAGCGGAUGACGGGAGCUUGCUCCUUGAUUCAGCGGCGGACGGGGGAGUAAUGCCUAUGAAUCUGCCUGGUAGUGGGGGACAACGUUUCGAAAGGAACGCUAAUACCGCAUACGUCCUACGGGAGAAAGCAGGGGACCUUCGGGCCUUGCGCUAUCAGAUGAGCCUAGGUCGGAUUAGCUAGUUGGUGGGGUAAUGGCUCACCAAGGCGACGAUCCGUAACUGGUCUGAAAGGAUGAUCAGUCACACUGGAACUGAGACACGGGCCAGACUCCUACGGGAGGCAGCAGUGGGGAAUAUUGGACAAUGGGCGAAAGCCUGAUCCAGCCAUGCCGCGUGUGUGAAGAAGGUCUUCGGAUUGUAAAGCACUUUAAGUUGGGAGGAAGGGCAGUAAGCUAAUACCUUGCUGUUUUGACGUUACCGACAGAAUAAGCACCGGCUAACUCUGUGCCAGCAGCCGCGGUAAUACAGAGGGUG